rnacentral:rRNA from 1 species
GAUCCUGGCUCAGGAUGAACGCUAGCUACAGGCUUAACACAUGCAAGUCGAGGGGAAACGAUAUUGGAAGCUUGCUUCCGAUAGGCGUCGACCGGCGCACGGGUGAGUAACGCGUAUCCAACCUGCCCACCACUUGGGGAUAACCUUGCGAAAGUAAGACUAACUACCCAUGACGUCUCUAGAAGACAUCUGAAAGAGAUUAAAGAUUUAUCGGUGAUGGAGUGGGGAUGCGUCUGAUUAG